CCGAUGCGAAACGCUAGAGAUGCAGCGUAGCUAAGCCUUUAGAGGUGAUUUUUGACGAUGGAAGUGAGCAUGGUGGUAUUUCUAGUGGUGAGGAAUUCGAAUUAGAUAGAAAACUGGAAAAUCCUAGCGAAGAAUCGAGGCAAAAUUUCAGAAGUCAAACAAAGAAAUAUAGUUCCAAUGGUUGCACUGUAGACUUCAAGAGGGAUUAGUAAAUUUGGGCUUGGGGUGAUGAUAAGAUAAGCCAGAGUCUCUGGAUGUCUUGCCCAUAAGAUAAGGAAUAUUUUAUCUUAGAAAUGUUUCCUUUUUUACUCCAAUCCAUUCAGGCUCAGGCUGUUUCAAAGUCAAAAGUUGUACAAUAAUUUAUGCAAAUUGUAUGCCAUUUUCUUAGCAUGAUUUAAAAUCCAUGGAUUUUUGGAGGCUAAAUAU